rnacentral:lncRNA from 1 species
CCAAACAUGAGUUUUGGACCUAAAAUUAGUGGUUUGGGCAUGUUCGUUGCGAAAAACGAAAAAAUGGUUCCGGUGGCAAAAACUCAUGCUUUGUAUGCACCCCGACACCCGUUUUCGGAAUGGGUGACGUGCGGCAACGAAAUUGCGCGAAACCACACAAACAUGAGUUUUGGACCUAAAGUAGUGGAUUGGGCAUGUUCGUUGCGAAAAACGAAGAAAUGGUUCCGGUGGCAAAAACUCGUGCUUUGUAUGCACCCGACACCCGUUUUCGGAAUGGGUGACGUGCGGCAACGAAAUUGCGCGAAACCACCCCAAACAUGAGUUUUGGACCUAAAGUAGUGGAUUGGGCAUGUUCGUUGCGAAAAACGAAGAAAUGGUUCCGGUGGCAAAAACUCGUGCUUUGAAUGCACCCGACACCCGUUUUCGAAUGGGUGACGUGCGGCAACGAAAUUGCGCGAAACCACCCAAACAUGAGUUUUGGACCUAAAGUAGUGGAUUGGGCAUGUUCGUUGCGAAAAACGAAGAAAUGGUUCUGGUGGCAAAAACUCGUGCUUUGUAUGCACCCCACACCGUUUUCGGAAUGGGUGACGUGCGGCAACGAAAUUGCGCGAAACCACCCCAAACAUGAGUUUUGGACCUAAAGUAGUGGAUUGGGCAUGUUCGUUGUGAAAAACGAAGAAAUGGUUCCGGUGGCAAAAACUCGUGCUUUGUAUGCACCCCGACACCCGUUUUCGGAAUGGGUGACGUGCGGCAACGAAAUUGCGCGAAACCACCCCAAACAUGAGUUUUGGACCUAAAGUAGUGGAUUGGGCAUGUUCGUUGCGAAAAACGAAGAAAUGGUUCGGUGGCAAAAACUCGUGCUUUGUAUGCACCCGACACCGUUUUCGGAAUGGGUGACGUGCGCAACGAAAUUGCGGAAACCACCCCAAACAUGAGUUUUGGACCUAAAGUAGUGGAUUGGGCAUGUUCGUUGCGAAAAACGAAGAAAUGGUUCCGGUGGCAAAAACUCUUGCUUUGUAUGCACCUCGACACCAGUUUCGGAAUGGGUGACGUGCGGCGACGAAAUUGCGCGAAACCACCCCAAACAUGAGUUUUGGACCUAAAGUAGUUCAUUGGGCAUGUUCGUUGUGAAAAACGAAGAAAUGGUUCUGGUGGCAAAACUCGUGCUUUGAAUGCACCCGACACCCGUUUUCGGAAUUGUGACAUGCGGCAACGAAAUUGCUUGAAACCACCCCAAACAUGAGUUUUGGACCUAAAGUAGUGGAUUGGGCAUGUUCGUUGUGAAAAACGAAGAAAUGGUUCCGGAGGCAAAAACUCGUGCUUUGUAUGCACCGACACCAGUUUUCUGAAUGUGUGACGUGCGGCAACGAAAUUGCGCGAAACCACCCAAACAUGAGUUUUGGACUAAAGUAGUGGAUUGGGCAUGUCGUUGUGAAAACGAAGAAAUGGUUCCGGUGGCAAAAACUCGUGCUUUGUAUGCACCCCGACACCAGUUUUCGGAAUGGUGACGUGCGGCAACGAAAUUGUGCGAAACCACCCAAACAUGAGUUUUGGACUAAAGUAGUGGAUUGGGCAUGUUCGUUGCGAAAAACGAAGAAAUGGUUCCGGUGGCAAAAACUCGUGCUUUGUAUGCACCCGACACCCGUUUUCGGAAUGGGUGACGUGCGGCAACAAAAUUGCGUGAAACCACCCCAAACAUGAGUUUUGGACCUAAAGUAGUGGAUUGGGCAUGUUUGUUGCAAAAAAGGAAGAAAUGGUUCCGGUGGCAAAAACUCAUGCUUUGAAUGCACCCGACACCAGUUCUCGGAAUGGGUGACGUGCGGCAACAAAUUUGCGUGAAACCACCCCAAACAUGAGUUUUGGACCUAAAAUAGUGGAUUGGGCAUGUUCGUUGCGAAAAACGAAGAAAUGGUUUUCGUGGCAAAAACUCGUGCUUUGAAUGCACCUCGACACCCGUUUUUGGAAUGGGUGACGUGCGGCAACGAAAUUACGCAAAACCACCACCAACAAGAGUUUUGGACUUAAAGUAGUGGAUUGUGCAUGUUCGUGGCGAAAAACAAAGAAAUGGUUCUGGUGGCAAAAACUCGUGCUUUGAAUGCACCCGACACCUAUUUUAGGAAUGGGUGACGUGCGGCAAUGAAAUUGCGCGAAACCACCCCAAACAUGAGUUUUGGACCUAAAGUAGUGGAUUGGGCAUGUUCGUGGCGAAAAACAAAGAAAUGGUUCUGGUGGCAAAAACUCGUGCUUUGAAUGCACUCGACACCUAUUUUAGGAAUGGGUGACGUGCGGCAAUGAAAUUGCGCGAAACCACCCCAAACAUGAGUUUUGGACCUAAAGUAGUGGAUUGGGCAUGUUCGUUGCAAAAAACGAAAAAAUGGUUCCGGUUGCAAAAACUCAUUAUUUGUAUACAUCCCGAUACCAGUUUCCGGAACAGGUGACGUGCAGUAACGAAAUUGCGCGAAACCACCCCAAACAUGAGUUUUGGACCUAAAGUAGUGGAUUGGGCAUGUUCGUUGCAAAAAACGAAGAAAUGGUUCCGGUGGCAAAAACUCGUGCUUUGUAUGCAACCCGACACCUGUUUUAGGAAUGGGUGACGUGCGGCAACGAAAUUGUGCGAAACCACCCCAAACAUGAGUUUUGGAUCUAAAGUUGUGGAUUGGACAUGUUCGUUGCGAAAAAUGAAGAAGUGGUUCCGGUGGCAAAAACUCUUGUUUUGUAUGCACCCCGACACCCGUUUUCAGAAUGCCACGUGAGGCAACGAAAUUGCGCAAUACCUCCCCUGACAUGAGUUUUGGACCUAAAGUAGUGGAUUAGGCAUGUUCGUUGCAAAAACGAAGAAAUGGUUCCGGUGGCAAGAACUCUUGCUUUGUAUGCACCCCGACACCCGUUUUCGGAAUGGGUGACGUGCGGCAACGAAAUUGCGUGAAACCACCCCAAACAUGAGUUUUGGACCUAAAGUAGUGGAUUGGGCAUGUUCGAUGCGAAAAACGAAGAAAUGGUUCCGGUGGCAAAAACUCGUGCUUUGAAUGCACCCCGACACAAGUUUUCGCAAUGGGUGACGUAUGUCAACGAAAUUGCGCGAAACCACCCCAAACAUGGGUUUUGGACCUAAAGUGGUGGAUUGGGCAUGUUCGUUGAGUAAAAUGAAGAAAUGGUUCUGUUUGCAAAACUCAUUAUUUGUAUGCAUCCCGAUACCAGUUUCCGGAACAGGUGGCGUGCAACAAUGAAAUUGCGCGAAACCACCCCAAAUAUUAGUUUUGGACCUAAAGUAGUGGAUUGGGCAUGUUCAUUGCGAAAAACGAAGAAAUGGUUUCGGUGCUAAAAACUCGUGCUUUGAAUGCACCUCGACACCCGUUUUCGGGUUGGGUGACGUGCGGCAACGAAAUUGCGCAAAACCGCCCCAAACAUGAGUUUUUGACCUAAAGUAAUGGAUUGGGCAUGUUCGUUGCGAAAAACAAAGAAAUGGUUCCGUUGGCAAAAACUCGUGCUUUGAAUGCACACCGACGCCCGUUUUCGGAAUGGGUGACGUGCGGCAACGAAAUUGCGUGAAACCACCCCAAACAUGAGUUUUGGACCUAAAGUAGUGGAUUGGGCAUGUUCGUUGCGAAAAACGAAGAAAUGGUUCGGUAUCAAAAACUCGUGCUUUGUAUGCACCCCGACACCCGUUUUCGAAAUGGGUGACGUGCGACAACGAAAUUGUGCGAAACCUCCCCAAACAAGAGUUUUGGACCUAAAGUAGUGGAUUGGGCAUGUUCGUGGCGAAAAACAAAGAAAUGGUUCUGAUGGCAAAAACGUGUGCUUUGUAUGCACCCGGACACCCGUUUUCGGAAUGGGUGACGUGCGGCAACGAAAUUGCGCGAAACCAGUAAACAUGAGUUUUGGACCUAAAGUGGUGGAUUGGGCAUGUUCGUUGUGAAAAACGAAGAAAUGGUUCCAAUUGCAAAAAAACUCAUUAUUUGUAUGCAUCCCGAUACCAGUUUCCGGAAUAGGUGACGUACAGCAACGAAAUUGCACGAAACUACCCCAAACAUGAGUUUUAGACCUAAAGUAGUGGAUUGGGCAUGUUCGUUGCGAAAAACGAAGAAAUGGUUCCGGUGGCAAAAACUCGUGCUUUGUAUGCACCCCGACACCCGUUUUCGGAAUGGGUGACGUGCGGCAACCAAAUUGCGCGAAACCACCCCAAACAUGAGUUUUGGACCUAAAGUAGUGGAUUGGCAUGUUUGUUGCGAAAAAUGAAGAAAUGGUUUCGAUGGCAAAAACUCGUGCUUUGAAUGCACCCGACACCCGUUUUCGGAAUGGGUGACAUGCAGCAACGAAAUUGCGCGAAACCACCCCAAACACGAGUUUUGGACCUAAAGUAGUGGAUUGGGCAUGUUCGUUGCGAAAAAUAAAGAAAUGGUUCCGGUGGCAAAAACUCGUGCUUUGAAUGCACCCUUCACCCGUUUUCGGAAUUGUGACAUGCAGCAACGAAAUUGCUUGAAACCACCCCAAACAUGAGUUUUGGACCUAAAGUAGUGGAUUGGGCAUGUUCGUUGUGAAAAACGAAGAAAUGGUUCCAGAGGCGAAAACUUGUGCUUUGUAUGCACCCCGACACCAGUUUUCGGAAUGUGUGACGUGCGACAACGAAAUUGUGCGAAAGCACCACAAACAUGAGUUUUGGACUUAAAGUAGUGGAUUGGGCAUGUUCGUUGUGAAAAAUGAAGAAAUGGUUCCGGAGGCAAAAACUCGUGCUUUGUAUGCACCCCGACACCAGUUUUCGGAAUGUGUGACGUGCGGCAACGAAAUUGCGCGAAACCACCACAAACAUGAGUUUUGGACUUAAAGUAGUGGAUUGGGCAUGUUCGUUGCGAAAAACGAAGAAAUGGUUCCGAUGGCAAAAACUCGUGCUUUGUAUGCACCCGACACCCGUUCUCGGAAUGCGUGACGUGCGGCAACAAAAUUGCGUGAAACCACCCCAAACAUGAGUUUUGCACCUAAAGUAGUGGAUUGGGCAUGUUUGUUGCGAAAAAGAAAGAAAUGGUUCCGGUGGCAAAAACUCGUGCUUUGAAUGCACCCGACACCAGUUUUCGGAAUGGGUGACGUCUCGGAAUGGGUGACGUGCGGCAACAAAUUUGCGUGAAACCACCCCAAACAUGAGUUUGGACCUAAAAUAGUGGAUUGGACAUGUUCGUUGCGAAAAACGAAGAAAUGGUUUUCGUGGCAAAAACUCGUGCUUUGAAUGCACCUCGACACCCGUUUUCGGAAUGAGGGACGUGCGGCAACGAAAUUAUGCAAAACCACCACAAACAUGAGUUUUGGACUUAAAUAGUGGAUUGGGCAUGUUUGUUGCGAAAAAUGAAGAAAUCGUUCCGGUGGCAAAAACCCGUGCUUUGUAUGCACCCUACACCAGUUUUCGGAAUGGGUGACGUGCGGCAACGAAAUUGCGCGAAACCACCCCCAAACAUGAGUUUUGGACCUAAAGUAGUGGAUUGGGCAUGUUCGUUGCGAAAAAUGAAGAAAUGGUUCCGGUGGCAAAAACUCAUGCAUUGUAUGCACCCCGACACCCGUUUUCGGAACCGGUGAUUUGCGGCAACGAAAUUGCGCAAAACCACCACAAACAUGAGUUUUGGACCUAAAGUAGUGGAUUGGGCAUGUUCGUUGCGAAAAACGAAAAAUGGUUCUGGUGGCAAAAACUCGUGCUUUGAAUGCACCUCGACACCCAUUUUUGGAAUGGGUAACGUGCGGCAACGAAAUUGCGCAAAACUACCACAAACAUUAGUUUUGUACUUAAAGUAGUGGAUUGGGCAUGUUCGUUGCGAAAAACGAAAAAAUCAUUCCGGUGGCAAAAACUCGUGCUUUCUACGCACCCAAACACCAGUUUUCGGAAUGGGUGAUGUGCGGCAACGAAAUUGUGCGAAACCACCCCAAACAUGAGUUUUGGACCUAAAGUAGUGGAUUGGGCAUGUUCAUUGCGAAAAAUGAAGAAAUGGUUCCGGUGGCAAAAACUCAUGCUUUGUAUGCACCCCGACACCCGUUUUCGGAAUCGGUGAUGUGCGGCAACGAAAUUGCGCAAAACCACCACAAACAUGAGUUUUGGACCUAAAGUAGUGGAUUGGGCAUGUUUGUUGCGAAAAACGAAAAAAUGGUUCUGGUGGCAAAAACUCGUGCUUUGAAUGCACCUCGACAACCAUUUUCGGAAUGGGUAACGUGCGGCAACGAAAUUGCGCUAAACCACCACAAACAUGAGUUUUGUACAUAAAGUAGUGGAUUGGGCAUGUUCGUUGAGAAAAACGAAAAAAUCGUUCCGGUGGCAAAAACUCGUGCUUUGUAUGCACCCCUACACCAGUUUUCGGAAUAGGUGACGUGCGGCAACGAAAUUGCGCGAAACCACCCUAAACAUGAGUUUUGGACCUAAAGUAGUGGAUUGGGCAUGUUCGUUGCGAAAAACGAAGAAAUGGUUCCGUUGGCAAAAACUCGUGCUUUGAAUGCACCCGACACCAGUUUUCGGAAUGGGUGACGUGCGGCAACGAAAUUGCGCGAAACCACCCCAAACAUGAGUUUUGGACCUAAAGUAGUGGAUUGGGCAUGUUCGUUGGGAAAAACGAAGAAAUGGUUCUGGUGGCAAAAACUCGUGCUUUGAAUGCACCUCGACACCCGUUUUCGAAAUGGGUGACGUGCGGCAACGAAAUUGCGCGAAACCACCACAAACAUGAGUUUUGGACUUAAAGUAGUGGAUUGGGCAUGUUCGUUGAGAAAAACGAAGAAAUCGUUCUGGUGGCAAAAACUCGUGCUUUGUAUGCACCCCAACACCAGUUUUCGGAAUGGGUGACGUGCGGCAACGAAGUUGCACGAAACCACCCCAAACAAGAGUUUCGGACCUAAAGUAGUGGAUUGGGCAUGUUCGUUGCGAAAAACGAAGAAAUGGUUCCGGUGGCAAAAACUCGUGCUUUGUAUGCACCCCGACACCAGUUUUCGGAAUGGGUGACGUGCGGCAACAAAAUUGCGCGAAACCACCCCAAACAUGAGUUUUGGACUUAAAGUAGUGGAUUGGGCAUGUUCGUUGCGAAAAACGAAGAAAUGGUUUCGAUGGCAAAAACUUGUGCUUUGAAUGCACCCGACACCAGUUUUCGGAAUGGGUGACGUGUGGCAACAAAAUUGCGUGAAACCACCCCAAACAUGAGUUUUGGACCUAAAGUAGUGGAUUGAGCAUGUUUGUUGCGAAAAAGGAAGAAAUGGUUCCGGUGGCAAAAACUCGUGCUUUGAAUGCACCCGACACCAGUUUUCGGAAUGGGUGACGUCUCGGAAUGGGUGACGUGCGGCAACAAAUUUGCGUGAAACCACCCCAAACAUGAGUUUUGGACCUAAAAUAGUGGAUUGGGCAUGUUCGUUGCGAAAAACAAAGAAACGGUUUUCGUGGCAAAAACUCGUGCUUUGAAUGCACCUCGACACCCGUUUUCGGAAUGGGUGACGUGCGGCAACGAAAUUACGCAAAACCACCACAAACAUGAGUUUUGGACUUAAAGUAGUGGAUUGGGCAUGUUCGUAGCGAAAAAUGAAGAAAUCAUUCCGGUGGCAAAAACUCGUGCUUUGUAUGCACUCAUACACCAGUUUUCAGAAUGGGUGGCGUGCGGCAACGAAAUUGCGCGAAACCACCCCAAACAUGAGUUUUGGACCUAAAGUAGUGGAUUAGGCAUGUUCGUUGCAAAAAAUGAAGAAAUGGUUCCGGUGGCAAAAACUCGUGCUUUGUAUGCACCUCGACACCCGUUUUUGGAAUCGGUGAUGUGCGGCAACGAAAUUGCGCAAAACCACCACAAACAUGAGUUUUGGACCUAAAGUAGUGGUUUGGGCAUGUUCGUUGUGAAAAACAAAGAAAUGGUUCCGGUGGCAAAAACUCAUGCUUCGUAUGCACCCCGAC